GAUGAACGCUGGCGGCGUGCUUAACACAUGCAAGUCGAACGGGAAUUACUUUAUUGAAACUUCGGUCGAUCUAAUUUAAUUCUAGUGGCGGACGGGUGAGUAACGCGUGGGUAACCUGCCUUGUACAGGGGGAUAACAGUCAGAAAUGACUGCUAAUACCGCAUAAGCGCACAGAGCUGCAUGGCUCAGUGUGAAAAACUCCGGUGGUAUAAGAUGGACCCGCGUUGGAUGAGCUAGUUGGUGAGGUAACGGCCCACCAAGGCGACGAUCCAUAGCCGGGAUGAGAGGGUGAACGGCCACAUUGGGACUGAGACACGGCCCAGACUCCUACGGGAGGCAGCAGUGGGGAAUAUUGCACAAUGGGGGAAACCCUGAUGCAGCGACGCCGCGUGAAGGAAGAAGUAUCUCGGUAUGUAAACUUCUAUCAGCAGGGAAGAAAAUGACGGUGCCUGACUAAGAAGCCCCGGCUAACUACGUGCCAGCCGCCGCAGUAA
rnacentral:rRNA from 1 species